GUACCGUCUUGUUUGAGAAAAGGGUAGUCAUCAACAGUGAGACUGACGAACCAGUCCUAAUUGGUUGACAACCGGAGCAUAAUUGACGCGCCGUGGAGCACGGCCACCACCGCCUCCCUCUCCUCCGCACUCCUCCCGCACUCUUUGCCUUUUACCUCUUCACCCUUCUCGUCUUCCUGACCCUCGCCUCCUCCUCCGCCUCCCUUACCUACGC
rnacentral:lncRNA from 1 species